GUUAAGCGACUAAGCGUACACGGUGGAUGCCCUGGCAGUCAGAGGCGAUGAAGGACGUGCUAAUCUGCGAUAAGCGUCGGUAAGGUGAUAUGAACCGUUAUAACCGGCGAUUUCCGAAUGGGGAAACCCAGUGUGUUUCGACACACUAUCAUUAACUGAAUCCAUAGGUUAAUGAGGCGAACCGGGGGAACUGAAACAUCUAAGUACCCCGAGGAAAAGAAAUCAACCGAGAUUCCCCCAGUAGCGGCGAGCGAACGGGGAGCAGCCCAGAGCCUGAAUCAGUAUGUGUGUUAGUGGAAGCGUCUGGAAAGGCGCGCGAUACAGGGUGACAGCCCCGUACACAAAAAUGCACAUGCUGUGAGCUCGAUGAGUAGGGCGGGACACGUGGUAUCCUGUCUGAAUAUGGGGGGACCAUCCUCCAAGGCUAAAUACUCCUGACUGACCGAUAGUGAACCAGUACCGUGAGGGAAAGGCGAAAAGAACCCCGGCGAGGGGAGUGAAAAAGAACCUGAAACCGUGUACGUACAAGCAGUGGGAGCACGCUUAGGCGUGUGACUGCGUACCUUUUGUAUAAUGGGUCAGCGACUUAUAUUCUGUAGCAAGGUUAACCGAAUAGGGGAGCCGAAGGGAAACCGAGUCUUAACUGGGCGUUAAGUUGCAGGGUAUAGACCCGAAACCCGGUGAUCUAGCCAUGGGCAGGUUGAAGGUUGGGUAACACUAACUGGAGGACCGAACCGACUAAUGUUGAAAAAUUAGCGGAUGACUUGUGGCUGGGGGUGAAAGGCCAAUCAAACCGGGAGAUAGCUGGUUCUCCCCGAAAGCUAUUUAGGUAGCGCCUCGUGAAUUCAUCUCCGGGGGUAG
rnacentral:rRNA from 1 species